rnacentral:rRNA from 1 species
UCAAAAACAUGUCUUUUUGAAAUUAAUUUAAAGUCGAAUCUGCCCACUGAUAAUUAUUAAAGGGCUGCAGUAUAUUGACUGUACAAAGGUAGCAUAAUCAUUAGUCUUUUAAUUGAAGACUUGUAUGAAAGAUUUGAUGAGGUAUAAGCUGUCUCUAAUUUAUGUAUAAAAAUUAAUUUUUUAAUUAAAAAGUUAAAAUAAAAUUAAAAGACGAGAAGACCCUAUAAAGUUUUAUAAUUUAUUUUUUUAUUUUUAAUUAUAAAAAUAAACAUAAUAAUUAAUGUAAAUUAUUAUAUUGGGGUGAUAAAAAAAUUAAAUAAACUUUUUUUUAAAAAAAAAAAUACAUUUAUAAAUGAAAAAUUGAUCCAUUAUUAAUGAUUAAAAGAAAAAAUUACUUUAGGGAUAACAGCGUAAUAUUUUUUUUUAGUUCAAAUAAAAAAAAAAGUUUGCGACCUCGAUGUUGGAUUAAGAUAAAAUUUAAAUGCAAAAGUUUAAAAUUUUGAUCUGUUCGAUCAUUAAAAUCUUACAUGAUCUGAGCU